UCGGGAGUAGCUCAGCGGUAGAGCGGCACGCUGUUAACGUGAUGGUCCUGGGUUCGAUCCCCAGCUCCCGAGCCA
rnacentral:tRNA from 1 species